rnacentral:sRNA from 12 species
AGCCUAACCCUUUGGUCUGCGUAAGUAGGCGAGAGGCAUGGUUGAAAAUCGUGUUAACAGUACUGAUCCCGUCGUUCAGGUAUGUUAACACGUCACUUAAGGAAACUUUUGUGGGGCUUUACGGUCC